rnacentral:rRNA from 1 species
CCUACGGGAGGCAGCAGUGGGGAAUAUUGCACAAUGGGGGAAACCCUGAUGCAGCGACGCCGCGUGAGUGAAGAAGUAUUUCGGUAUGUAAAGCUCUAUCAGCAGGGAAGAAGAAAGACGGUACCUGACUAAGAAGCCCCGGCUAACUACGUGCCAGCAGCCGCGGUAAUACGUAGGGGGCAAGCGUUAUCCGGAUUUACUGGGUGUAAAGGGAGCGUAGACGGCUGUGCAAGUCUGAAGUGAAAGCCCAGGGCUCAACCCUGGGACUGCUUUGGAAACUGUGGAGCUAGAGUGCUGGAGAGGCAGGCGGAAUUCCCAGUGUAGCGGUGAAAUGCGUAGAUAUUGGGAGGAACACCAGUGGCGAAGGCGGCCUGCUGGACAUUAACUGACGCUGAGGCGCGAAAGCGUGGGGAGCAAACAGGAUUAGAUACCCGGGUAGUC